rnacentral:misc_RNA from 1 species
GAUGAAGAACGUAGCGAAAUGCGAUAAGUAGUGUGAAUUGCAGAAGUACCGUGAAUCAUCGAAUCUUUGAACGCAAAUUGCACUCUCUGGUAUUCCGGGGAGUAUGCCUGUUUGAGGGUCGCUUAACAAACCAUCGAUUUCGUUGCUUUUUUUUUAAAGUGAUGUUUAUCGGAUUUGAGCCGUCUUUUUUUUUAUAUUUAAGUGGCUUAAAAUUGAUUUUUUUGGUACGAUCGAAGCGUAUUUUUAUGAUAAAUUUUUGGUUAAAGAAACGCACACGUACCGUUAUUUAUAUGAUGUAAUACGUUUGACUAUUGGAUUUAGUUCAUUCGUAUACGAUAUCUUUCAAUAUUUGACCUCAAAUCAGGUAAGAACACCCGCUGAACUUAAGCAUAUCAAUAAGCGGAGGA